UUUAUAUUUAUUUUAUUGGGGUAAUGGAAAGAUUUAUUUAAUUCUUUUUUUUUUCAUUAUUUAUUUAUAUAUUAAUGAUCCUUUAUUAAGGAGUAUAAGAUUAAAUUACCUUAGGGAUAACAGCGUAAUUUUUUUUGAAAGUUCAUAUUGAUAAAAAAGAUUGCGACCUCGAUGUUGGAUUAAAGAUUAAUUUAGGUGCAAAAGUCUAAAUUUUUGGUCUGUUCGACCAUUAAAUCUUUACAUGAUCUGAGUUCAGACCGGUGUGAGCCAGGUCGGUUUCUAUCUUUAUUUAUAUUUAAUAUUUUAGUACGAAAGGACCAAAUAUUUAUUAUAUUAAUUAUUAUUUUGAAUAUUAUU
rnacentral:rRNA from 1 species